rnacentral:rRNA from 1 species
CCUACGGGCGGCUGCAGUGGGGAAUAUUGGACAAUGGGCGAAAGCCUGAUCCAGCCAUGCCGCGUGUGUGAAGAAGGCCUUCGGGUUGUAAAGCACUUUCAGUGGGGAAGAAAGCCUUGGGUCUAAUACCCUCGAGGAAGGACAUCACCCACAGAAUAAGCACCGGCUAACUCCGUGCCAGCAGCCGCGGUAAUACGGAGGGUGCGAGCGUUAAUCGGAAUUACUGGGCGUAAAGCGCGCGUAGGCGGUCUGAUAAGCCGGUUGUGAAAGCCCCGGGCUCAACCUGGGAACGGCAUCCGGAACUGUCAGGCUAGAGUGCAGGAGAGGAAGGUAGAAUUCCCGGUGUAGCGGUGAAAUGCGUAGAGAUCGGGAGGAAUACCAGUGGCGAAGGCGGCCUUCUGGACUGACACUGACGCUGAGGUGCGAAAGCGUGGGUAGCAAACAGGAUUAGAUACCCGAGUAGUC